UACAGAGGGGCAAGCGUUGUUCGGAAUUACUGGGCGUAAAGGGCGCGUAGGCGGCCUUCUAAGUCGAACGUGAAAUCCCCGGGCUCAACCCGGGAACUGCGUCCGAUACUGGAAGGCUUGAAUCCGGGAGAGGGAUGCGGAAUUCCAGGUGUAGCGGUGAAAUGCGUAGAUAUCUGGAGGAACACCGGUGGCGAAGGCGGCAUCCUGGACCGGUAUUGACGCUGACGGCGCGAAAGCCAGGGGAG
rnacentral:rRNA from 1 species